rnacentral:rRNA from 1 species
UACGUAGGGGGCAAGCGUUGUCCGGAUUUAUUGGGCGUAAAGAGCGUGUAGGCGGCCAGACAGGUCCGUUGUGAAAACUCGAGGCUCAACCUCGAGACGCCGAUGGAAACCGUUUGGCUAGAGUCCGGAAGAGGAGAGUGGAAUUCCUGGUGUAGCGGUGAAAUGCGCAGAUAUCAGGAAGAACACCUAUGGCGAAGGCAGCUCUCUGGGACGGUACUGACGCUGAGACGCGAAAGCGUGGGGAGCGAACAGG